UACGGAGGGUGCAAGCGUUAUCCGGAUUCACUGGGUUUAAAGGGUGCGUAGGUGGGCAAGUAAGUCAGUGGUGAAAUCUCCGGGCUUAACCCGGAAACUGCCAUUGAUACUAUUUGUCUUGAAUACUGUGGAGGUCAGCGGAAUAUGUCAUGUAGCGGUGAAAUGCUUAGAUAUGACAUAGAACACCGAUAGCGAAGGCAGCUUGCUACACAAUAAUUGACACUGAGGCACGAAAGCGUGGGGAUCAAACAGG
rnacentral:rRNA from 1 species